AACAUAACCUUUAGCAAAACAAAUAUUAAAGGCACGCCUGCCCAGUGAAUAAUUAAACGGCCGCGGUACCCUAACCGUGCAAAGGUAGCAUAAUCACUUGUCUACUAAUUAUAGACCUGUAUGAAAGGCAAAAUGAGGGCCUAGCUGUCUCUUAUAAUAAAUCAAUUAAACUGAUCUCCCAGUAAAAAAGCUGGGAUUACAACAUAAGACCAGAAGACCCUGUGAAGCUUAAACUAAACUAUUAAACCCAAUAAUAACUACUUUAGGUUGGGGCGACCUUGGAAAAAAAAAGAACUUCCAAAAAAAUGACUAAGUCACAUCUCACCCAGGCCUACAAGCCACUAAACGAACCAGCUAUGGCUGACCAUUGAACCAAGUUACUCCAGGGAUAACAGCGCAAUCUUCUUCAAGAGCCCAUAUCAAAAAGAAGGUUUACGACCUCGAUGUUGGAUCAGGACAUCCUAAUGGUGCAACCGCUAUUAAGGGUUCGUUUGUUCAACGAUUAACAGUCCUACGUGA
rnacentral:rRNA from 1 species